CUUUUGGGCGUUUGAAAAAAAUCAUAACACGACCGAAAUGCGUAGACGAAUCGCUAGAAGAUCUAGCAGCACUCGCCUGGCCGCCGGAUGAAGCAGAGGAAAAGAACAGGUGGGAAAGAACAAACCGAUCGGGCCGUCAGCUGUCACCGACGGCUGUUUACGUUGCUCCGUGUUUUCCAUAUCCGUACCGGUGAAAUCCCCGAAAACAUUGUCUCCGACAAAUUUUAAAAUACGGAGAAACGGACCGCGCGGAUACGGAACGGACAUGCCCAUUUCGUAACGAGUAAACAAACUUUAAACGUCGGACACGGAACGGAUGUGUGUAAACAGACCUUUAUUGUUUUGCGCUUUUGUGUACCGGCGUUUUGAGAAAUUUGAACGCACAGUUCUCAUAGUACAUUUAGGAACUUUUUUUUUAUAGUUUUGUUUUUUCGGGUUCCGAUUCUCUACGUCGUAAGCGGAGUGUUUUGGGUACGGUUUUUUUCAAUGAUACAGACUAACGCACGAUUCCCGAAUGAAACGAUCGCCGAACAUGUAUCCUGUGUCUCGCGGUAAAAUACCCAAAGAAUCGGUUUUCAAAACUGAAUUCCGUCAAACGCGAUAUUCCUUCGUGUCGCGUCCGGCUUUUCGCGGCGUCUUUCCGCGCGCCCGACACCCGUUUCGCCGACAAACAGAACCGGUUUUAUAAGCAUAUCGAAAGUCUUCCCGUUCGCCGACGCGUAAAUCGGUUUUUUAUUGCUAUCACGAACCGAAAUAUUAUUGUUGUCGCAGCGAAACGAUUGUUACGUGAGAAAUUCCAGCGCCGGUAAUCGCGGCACGAGCGGUACAUAAAGCGUAUAAAUUCGGUAUUAUCGGAAAUACGAAAACUGUCGACAAUAACAAUAGGUAAUCGACGACGGGAGAAACGUCGAAAAUGAUUUUUCCUGUUAUUUUCGUUUGUUUAACGUCGGCGGUACAGUCUUGCAGUUUAGUACAGCAGCGACGGCGUGCGAUUGUUUUCAAUAUGUUUCUGGUUUUUUAAACUAUCGACUUUACAACGGAAUCAUAUUUCAUUUUGGAUUCGAGUUAUUCAAGUAGUUCAAGAAAACCGAGUGCAAUCCCUGCAUUGAACAACAGCGGAAGCGUGUUAUUUUAACACGAACUAUUGUGACGAUGAGGUCAUCGUGAGUAGGCGCACUUCAAGGCCGUUAUUGGCCGACCUUUUCGACGACCCGAUUGAACACGAUAAAAUAAAUAAACGUUGUCAGAUUGUCACUAGUACGUACGUUGUAUAGAUUGCCGACUGUAGGUAACUAACAUACUGGUGGAAAAAGAUUUCGUUACCGAUCGAUGGGUACCCACGGAAGUUGAAAAUAAAUGGAAUAGAAAAAAAAAACCAGAAUUUUAUCUACAACGGUUCCACUAAAUUGUGAUUAACUGUUAUCGUAUUUACCUACGCUGUAAAUAAGACUCGGUCACGUUCGGUCUGUUCUGUCGUCCCGCGCUCGUGUUCCUACAAAAAUAGCGUGUAUUUUGCAAAUAAUACGAUUUUUAUGAUGGGAAAUAUCGAAUACAAACUAUUUUAUCCGAGAGAGGCACAGUUGGCAAAUGUUGGAGCUUUCAAGAAAUGUUAAUUGUUGAAAUUGGCGAUGUAUAAAAAAUGAUAUUUUUUUUUUAUAUAUAUAUUUGGUAUUUACGGGAAUAAAUUUUAAUUGUAAUGUACACU